UGAUCCAGAUCCUGGGAAUACGAGCUGUGAUAUUCCUUGUGGCUGUGGUUAUCACUAUCGCUGGAGUCUGUGUCUGGGAGGGACAAACAGUGAAAGGAAGUCGACAGACUGUUUAAAGCUUUUGUACAGCAACAAUCUGCACAAACAGCAAUUUCCAAGUGGACUCCCAUCAGCAGACAGAGUGCAAUGAAACAUCAGCAUGCCUGCUUCUUAAUGUACGGAGAGAAACCUGGAACGAGAGAUUCUCCUUCUUCUCCUCAGCAAGCUGAAACUUUUCCUUAUACCUGGUGCUCCCAAGUCCUGCUGUGUGGACACAUCAUAACCACGGCAUUGUCUGGCUGUGUGCAGCCAACAUGGUCGAAUAGGAAUGAACAGAAAUGGGACGUUGCUAAACUCUGUUCUCUGAUUGGAAUGUGCUUUCUGAAUGCUGCACCUUUUUCAUGCUGCGAUAGAUUGUAAGAAGCAUUUGGGUUAUGAAUAAAAUUACAUUGAUUAACACAA